rnacentral:tRNA from 1 species
AAUAUUAUAGUUUAAUUAAAAUUUUAAAUUGCAAAUUUAAAGAUAGACCAUUCUUAAUAUUU